AUCUAAUGCACAAAAUAAUUAGGAUAUCACCUUUGUUAACGUUUAGAAAACCUGUACGCAUUAUGCGCCCCUGCUUUCAAAGAUAUUGGUACGGUCUUUUCAAUUGCGCUGCAAACGUACAUUGAGCCACAAGAAGAACGUGAAACCCGCUCCAAAUAAGAUGCUGCGGACCGAUGUCGGUGUUAAUUGAUCUGGUUAUUCUGUUUUAAGAAAAGGAAACACCACACUGCGGCAUAAUUUCAUUUUUGCCCCGCGGAGAGGAGGAUGGUGCCUGGGUUGUCAUAACUUUAGACUCGCUGCUUUUCCUUGGCACGCGCACUGAUCCAGUUGGUGAGGGACCGAUGGUAAAGGUAGAUUACCCUCUCGGCGACGGAUCCUUACAAGGCAACUGGACCUUCUUCCUUGAUACCUCCUUCUCUUUCUCCUGCGAAUGGCGGGGAUGAGGGCCUUGUCGGUCAUCUGAAGUAAAUCCUUCCCGUCCGUCUCGUUGAAGAAAAAGUAAUCCUCCAGUACGUGUGAGCAUUUCUCAUUUGCCAAGAUAAUCCAUCCACCUGACAGAUAUAACCACACCAGCCCAGGACAAACACAUCUGGCUUCUUCACCUGCGGGAUCAUUUGAGACCAGCCACCCGGAGAGCUAAUGAAACUGAGGAGUAUUUCUGUCUUUAUUAAAGCCCUUUUGUGGGGUAAAACGAAUUCUGAUUGGCUGGGCCUGGCUCCCCAGUCGGCGGAUCUGGCUUCUAAUUGGGUGGGCUUAUGCCCUUCCAGGCCCACCCAUGGCUGUGCCUCUGUCCAUCAUGUGAAAUCCAUAGAUUAGUGCCUAAUGAAU